rnacentral:rRNA from 1 species
UGCCAGCAGCCGCGGUAAUACGUAGGGAGCAAGCGUUGUCCGGAAUUAUUGGGCGUAAAGAGCUCGUAGGCUGUUCAGUAAGUCGGGUGUGAAAACUCAAGGCUCAACCUUGAGACGCCACUCGAUACUGCUGUGACUUGAGUCCGGUAGAGGAGUGUGGAAUUCCUGGUGUAGCGGUGAAAUGCGCAGAUAUCAGGAGGAACACCAGUGGCGAAGGCGGCUCACUGGCUCGAUACUGACGCUGAGGUACGAAAGUGUGGGGAGCAAACAGGAUUAGAUA